rnacentral:rRNA from 1 species
UACGUAGGGCGCGAGCGUUGUCCGGAAUCAUUGGGCGUAAAGAGCUCGUAGGCGGCCGGUUGCGUCUGCUGUGAAAUCCCGGGGCUUAACCCCGGGCGUGCAGUGGAUACGGGCUGGCUGGAGGCAGGCAGGGGAGAAUGGAAUUCCCGGUGUAGCGGUGAAAUGCGCAGAUAUCGGGAGGAACACCGGUGGCGAAGGCGGCAUCCUGGACCGGCAUUGACGCUGAGGAGCGAAAGCCAGGGGAGCAAACGGG